UACGGAGGGUGCGAGCGUUAAUCGGAAUUACUGGGCGUAAAGCGCGCGCAGGCGGCCUUUUAAGUCUGACGGUGAAAUGCCGGGGCUCAACCCCGUGCCCGCCGGAGAUACUGGGAGGCUGGAGACGAGUAGAGGCAAGCGGAAUUCCGGGUGUAGCGGUGGAAUGCGUAGAGAUCCGGAAGAACACCGGAGGCGAAGGCGGCUUGCUGGGCUCGGUCUGACGCUGAGGCGCGAAAGCGUGGGGAGCGAACAGG
rnacentral:rRNA from 1 species